rnacentral:rRNA from 1 species
GAUGAACGCUGGCGGCGUGCCUAAUACAUGCAAGUCGAGCGAACAGACGAGAGUGCUUGCACUCUCUGACGUUAGCGGCGGACGGGUGAGUAACACGUGGGUAACCUACCUAUAAGACUGGGAUAACUUCGGGAAAACGGAGCUAAUACCGGAUAAUAUUUAGCUUCGCAUGAAGCAAUAGUGAAAGACGGUUCUGCUGUCACUUAUAGAUUGACCCACGGUGUAUUAGCUAGUUGGUGAGGUAACGGCUCACCAAGGCAACGAUACAUAGCCGACCUGAGAGGGUGAUCGGCCACACUGGGACUGAGACACGGCCCAGACUCCUACGGGAGGCAGCAGUAGGGAAUCUUCCGCAAUGGGCGAAAGUCUGACGGAGCAAUGCCGCGUGAGUGAAGAAGGUUUUCGGGUCGUAAAACUCUGUUGUAAGGGAAGAACAGGUACGUGAGUAACUGAACGUACCUUGACGGUACCUUAACAGAAAGCCACGGCUAACUACGUG